CCUGAAUGCUGAAGGCAGAACAACACAGUGACUCUAAAGGUAAACAAUUAUUUUGCUACUUCAAAUACAACUGCUUUUUUUAUUCUAUUGACACAGAAAUUCAUUAAGCAAGAACUAGAGAACUGCAGCACCCUCCAAAGAACAGAGAGCUGCUUAAAAACUACUUGUUUUCCUUGUCCUACCAUCUAGCAGCACUGUUUCUUCAAAAGAGGUCUUCUGUCCUUAACAUGGCUGCCAUGCCUUACAUAACAUCAAUGAAUGAGAAAGUAGUUAUUUUGUUUCCUAGGACACACACUGCCCAUUAGCCAUAUGAUUCUCCAUAUGGCACAGCAAACAGCCCAGACAAAGCUUUGCAGCAACGCAGCUCCAAAGAUCAGCAUCCUCUGAGGAUAGCAGCAACAGUAAUUCAGACCUCACAAGCUCCAAAUUCCCUACGAUGAAACAACAAACUGCAGAGACUAAGACCAGAGAAAUCAGCCAAAACGAGACAAGGACAACACACCCCAUAGCAACAAAGAAUUACUGACCAGAUGAGAGACUGGCUUACAGACACUGCUGUGGCUCCUGCAUCUACAGACAACCAUGCAUGGCAAAGGCUUGCUUGGGACUUGUACAUCUCAUGCUGGUGACCUGUGACUGGUAGAUUCUUCAAAUGCCUCAGAAAGAACAAUUGUCAGUGCUGGAGAAAGUGGAUGCAAAGACUUAUUGUUUUCCCAGUACCAUCUGCUGCACUGGGGAAAACAAAUCAUAACCCUGUAAGACUGAAUGCAAAGCUGGACAUUUUUGAUGAUUAUUCCUGCAGUAUUUGUUACAAAAUUUACUCCUCAUUUCCACAAAGAAAGAGCAGCUGUAAUGAGAUUUCUGUGGUUGCACAACAGAUUUCUAAUGCUUUGUGCUGUCUUCCCAACUUAUCUGCAGUUUUUUGCAAGUUAACCAGUCCCUAUUUUCAGCAGGGAAAUCAUCUUUUGAUAGGUUCCUAACUAGUAAGGCCAUGAAAAGUAACUGCCUAUUAGACAUGUUUAUGGGCCUCAUUCUCUUAUUCCUAUUUUUGUCAUUCUUUGCCUCCAUUGCG